AUGCACAAAAUUGAUGGGAAAAAAUGGAAAAAAAAAUGGAAAGGAGCUGGAGGAAGCCAGAGAAGCAGAGUUUAUAAGUACCACACAUUCUCAUUUGUUAUGCUGUUCUGCACAGCCAUGAAACAGCUACAAGAUAACAAUUCCACAUUCAAAUUACACUGUCAGUAAAUGGCCUUUUUCUUUCCUUUUGGAAAGGUUUGCCAAGCCCCCCUGGGAUCGAAAGUGGUACCAUUAGAAGAUGGAUGGGAGAAUAUGGAGAAAUAAACAGAAAAUGCAGUUAUUUUCCAGUCUGGUCUACCAUAGGGAGGAUUAAGAGACAAAAUUAUUGUAUUGCCUAUACUCCACCAUAACCCCUCCAAAGUACAGUGGUGGUACAGGUGCCAUCUAAUGUCAGGAACGGGAGCAAAUACAUGGCCACACUUUCUACCAAAGACUGUAUGUGCCCUCAAACAUGGUACAACCUUAUCUUACCCCCAGCUCCCACAUCUUUAAAGAGAGAUUUAAAAGAUCUCUCUUAUGGUUUUGAAAAUUAAUCCAUUACAAUGCCCAUAGGGUUUGUGGAUGACUGAUCACCACAUUUUGGAACACCUCCAGGGAUUAAACUGACAACCUGCAGAGCAGACUGCAAUUUUUCCAACUGAAUUCAGGAAUAGUUUCAAUUACUAGAAUCUUUAAUAGAUUCUGUGCAAGGUUGAAGCACCAAGAUGUUUCCUAUCACCAUCCCAGUAGGAGCUGCCUCUGGGCAGUUUUCCUUAUCUCCUGUCAAUGGGCCCAUCAGUGCCUUGCCACAUGGCUCAGAGAUACUCUCCAGAGCCACUUCUGUUUAACAGGUGAUUUGUGUCUCAGAAUAACAUCAGCCCAUGGUGAGAUGCUCCGCCCAGGGGGAGGAGCCAGGCAUUCCCACCUGGAUAAAUCCGGGCAUUUCUAGACUGAGAGGCAGCCUUCCCACAGGUUUCUGAGAGGACCCAGCAACCACAUCUGCCACUCCAAGGGGACUGCAGCCACUCCAAUUUGGACUGCACGCUGGCCAGAGGUGGGUCAGGUUGUAUUCUGCCUUUGUCAGUAG
rnacentral:lncRNA from 1 species